GUUUUGGGUCCUGGGGAAAUUUUAAAUUCUGACUUUCUGUCAUCCUACAAGGAAGAAAUGACUACCUUAUUAUACCACCAUCAAAGAGAUUAGAUUUAAGUGAGAGAGGAUGAGAGUGGAAAGAGGUAAAUUCUGGGAGAAGUAUCAAAUAUCAUCCAUACUCAUCGGAGUGAUAGUGCACCGUACCUAUCUCUCUUUACUGAAGUUGAAAGAAAGCCACCUGGUCCUCAGAAAAGGGCACUGGAGCAUGGAGGGCAUGGUGAUUUGA
rnacentral:lncRNA from 1 species